GAUGAACGCUAGCGGCAGGCUUAAUACAUGCAAGUCAAGGGGGUAGCAAUACAACCGGCGCACGGGUGAGUAACGCGUACACAACAUACCAUAUACUGGAGUAUAGCUUUGGGAAACUGAAGGUAAUCCUCCAUAACAUUGCGAGAGGGCAUCUGAUUGCAAUUAAAGUUUCGGCGGUAUAUGAUUGGUGUGCGUUUGAUUAGCUAGUUGGUAGGGUAACGGCCUACCAAGGCGACGAUCAAUAGCUGGCGUGAGAACGCGACCAGCCACACUGGAACUGAGACACGGUCCAGACUCCUACGGGAGGCAGCAGUAGGGAAUAUUGGACAAUGGAGGAAACUCUGAUCCAGCCAUGCCGCGUGAUAGAUGAAGGCCCUCUGGGUUGUAAAUAUCUUUUAUCUGGGAAGAAACACUCCUAUUCUUAGGAACUUGACGGUACCAGAGGAAUAAGCACCGGCUAACUCCGUGCCAGCAGCCGCGGUAAAGUAGUCG
rnacentral:rRNA from 1 species